rnacentral:rRNA from 1 species
ACAAUGGGCGCAAGCCUGAUGGAGCAACACCGCGUGAGUGAAGAAAGGUUUCGGCUCGUAAAGCUCUGUUGUUAAAGAAGAACACGUAUGAGAGUAACUGUUCAUACGUUGACGGUAUUUAACCAGAAAGUCACGGCUAACUACGUGCCAGCAGCCGCGGUAAUACGUAGGUGGCAAGCGUUAUCCGGAUUUAUUGGGCGUAAAGAGAGUGCAGGCGGUUUUCUAAGUCUGAUGUGAAAGCCUUCGGCUUAACCGGAGAAGUGCAUCGGAAACUGGAUAACUUGAGUGCAGAAGAGGGUAGUGGAACUCCAUGUGUAGCGGUGGAAUGCGUAGAUAUAUGGAAGAACACCAGUGGCGAAGGCGGCUACCUGGUCUGCAACUGACGCUGAGACUCGAAAGCAUGGGUAGCGAACAGGAUUAGAUACCCUGGUAG